rnacentral:lncRNA from 1 species
AUGUUCAUACUCGACUUCAAAUACACUUAUUCGAAUAUGAUCGUGCAAAGUUUAUUUGAACUGCAUUCUAAUUCAUAUGCUGCUUAAGAAUGUUCAAAUAACCUAAAUAUUGAUUUGAUGAACACCCCUAUGCAAAAUAUAUAAGCAUGUCAAAAUAUGUGGUUAUAUACCGCUUGUUCACAAUAUAGAUUACAGAGUUUCCCAAAUUGUCUCCCCACUUAAAGAGCAAGGAGUCGUCUCGGUUUUCAUAGUUUUCCCUCUGCCAUAAAAGCGCCACAUCAAAUUUUCCCAUUCUUCCCACUUUCCCCAUUUUUUUCCAUUUUGCAAGGAUCCGUCCUAGAAUUCCCUGUUUUCAUUAAUAUAUAUAACCACACACAUAUGUGUGUAUACAUGUGCGUAUGCGGUGUGUGUAUAUAUAGAGACAGUGCAUGUGUGUGUGUUUACAUGUAUGUCUAUAUUUGAUUGGUGAUUUCCGGCGAAUACUAACUGAACGAUGAUUUUUUUUCUCUAUGGUCGGGGGACUGGUCUUCCCGUCUAGGGCCGGUUUUCCCCUCCUCUUACCUGGGUACCGCUCCAAAUGCUCUUAUUUGAUUUAAAGUUUUCUCUAAAAGUCAUCUC